CACGUAGGGCGCAAGCGUUGUCCGGAAUUAUUGGGCGUAAAGGGCGCGUAGGCGGUCAGCACAAGUCAGUUGUGAAAUCUCCGGGCUUAACUCGGAAAGGUCAACUGAUACUGUGCGACUAGAGUGCAGAAGGGGCAACUGGAAUUCUCGGUGUAGCGGUGAAAUGCGUAGAUAUCGAGAGGAACACCUGCGGCGAAGGCGGGUUGCUGGGCUGACACUGACGCUGAUGCGCGAAAGCCAGGGGAGCGAACGGG
rnacentral:rRNA from 1 species